AAUACUUCACAGCAACUGAACACGUUAGGAAAAUGAUUGCCAUCUGAGUGCUGAUACACAAUCCUGAUAACAUUUUGCCUGUUUACAGCCAAAACCCUAUCUAUUGGCUGUCUCGUUACAAUCUGAUGGAACACCAGUUUAAAGGAAACACAAGCGAACACUGAAGAAGCCUUUCAUUUCUGCAUUUAGAGGCAUCAGCCAGAGAAGUUUUCUUCUUCCCCCAAAUACUGCUCUUCAGCUGGGAGAAGAAAAAUUGACAUAAAUUUUCUUACUUU
rnacentral:lncRNA from 1 species